UUUGACGCGUGUGAGUUUGCAUU
rnacentral:snRNA from 1 species